GUCAAGGUAAUUUAGGAUGAAAUCCUGGCCCCCCUGAAGUCAAUGGAGUUUUACCUUUGACUUCAGUGGGGCCAAGAUUUCAUCCAUAAUGUUUACAGGAUAAGCAAGGCAUCCAGAAGUGAUUCACAUUAUAUCAGAACCUACCCCAAUUAACAGGAUAAGCCUACUGUUUUAUUCACAACUUGGAGAUUUUAUUGGAUAUCUAUGUAAAAAUUUGCCAAGAGUGAUUUUUUUUUUAUCCUUGGCCUGGGGCAUAAAGGCUGUACCUUUUCUUUUUAUAUGGACCAUGCUAUGGUUAUCAAGACUUCUGUCACCUUGAGGCUGGAUUAUUGCACUGAAAUCUAGAAGCUGAAUUUGAAAGUUGCAGCUUGCUUUCAUGCUGAAAGCACAUUAAAUAUCUGCUGCUUCGAUAUCUCCAUUGGUUACUAGUUGUGUUCCAGGUGAAGUUCAAGGUGGUGUUUUUGAGUUUUAGGAGUUUAACUGCAGCGAGACUAAAGAAUCAGAUACACUUCUAUCCCGAUAGAAUGCGGUCCUCGGGAGACAAAAAAUCUCACCGUGUUAUAGGUCUGAUGAGAUAAAGAACAAAUUAAAAUCACUGUUGGCAGAUUUGUCUCUACCCACCUCCAGACCCACAAGUCCUACCAAGACUUUCCCACAUUCAGCUUUAAUACUUAGGUUUAAAUGAUUACUUGUUUAAAAUUAAACAGGCUUA